rnacentral:rRNA from 1 species
CCGGCGACCGGCGCACGGGUGAGUAACACGUAUGCAACCUGGCCGUGACAGAUGGAUAACCGGGAGAAAUCCCGCCUAAUACAACAUAAUGCCGGGAGGGGACAUCCCCUGCCGGUCAAAGGGGGCGACCCCGGUCAUGGAUGGGCAUGCGGCGCAUUAGGUAGUUGGUGGGGCAACGGCCCACCAAGCCGACGAUGCGUAGGGGUUCUGAGAGGAAGGUCCCCCACAUUGGAACUGAGACGCGGUCCAAACUCCUACGGAAGGCAGCAG